rnacentral:rRNA from 1 species
AUACGUAGGGGGCAAGCGUUAUCCGGAAUUAUUGGGCGUAAAGAGUGCGUAGGUGGUUACCUAAGCAGGGGGUGAAAGGCACUGGCUUAACCAAUGUCAGCCCCCUGAACUGGGCUACUUGAGUGCAGGAGAGGAAAGUGGAAUUCCUAGUGUAGCGGUGAAAUGCGUAGAUAUUAGGAGGAACACCAGUGGCGAAGGCGACUUUCUGGACUGUUACUGACACUGAGGCACGAAAGUGUGGGGAGCAAACAGGAUUAGAUACCCUGGUAGUCCACACCGUAAACGAUGAGCACUAGGUGUCGGGGGAGCAAUUUCUCGGUGCCGCAGUUAACGCAUUAAGUGCUCCGCCUGGGGAGUACGUACGCAAGUAUGAAACUCAAAGGAAUUGGCGGGG